UACGGGGGGGGCAAGCGUUGUUCGGAAUUACUGGGCGUAAAGGGCGCGUAGGCGGUUCGAUAAGUCCCGUGUGAAAUCCCUCGGCUCAACUGAGGAACUGCACGGGAAACUGACGGGCUUGAGUUCGGGAGAGGGAAGCGGAAUUCCGGGUGUAGCGGUGAAAUGCGUAGAUAUCCGGAGGAACACCGGUGGCGAAGGCGGCUUCCUGGACCGACACUGACGCUGAGGCGCGAAAGCUAGGGGAGCAAACGGG
rnacentral:rRNA from 1 species